GAUGAACGCUGGCGGCGUGCUUAACACAUGCAGGUCGAACGAGAAAUGGAGACGGAAACCUUCGGGCGGAAGGCUUCAUUUCGAGUGGCGGACGGGUGAGUAACGCGUGGGUAACCUGCCUCAUACAGGGGGAUAACAGUUGGAAACGACUGUUAAUACCGCAUAAGACCACAGCACCGCAUGGUGCGGGGGUAAAAACUCCGGUGGUAUGAGAUGGACCCGCGUUCGAUUAGCCAGUUGGCGGGGUAACGGCCCACCAAAGCGACGAUCGAUAGCCGAUCUGAGAGGAUGACCGGCCACAUUGGGACUGAGACACGGCCCAAACUCCUACGGGAGGCAGCAGUGGGGAAUAUUGCACAAUGGGGGAAACCCUGAUGCAGCGACGCCGCGUGAGUGAAGAAGUACUUCGGUAUGUAAAGCUCUAUCAGCAGGGAAGAAAAUGACGGUACCUGAGUAAGAAGCCCCGGCUAACUACGUG
rnacentral:rRNA from 1 species